rnacentral:rRNA from 1 species
UACGUAGGGUGCAAGCGUUGUCCGGAAUUAUUGGGCGUAAAGAGCUCGUAGGCGGUCUGUCGCGUCGGUCGUGAAAACUUGGGGCUUAACCCUGAGCUUGCGGUCGAUACGGGCAUGACUGGAGUUCGGCAGGGGAGACUGGAAUUCCUGGUGUAGCGGUGAAAUGCGCAGAUAUCAGGAAGAACACCCGUGGCGAAGGCGGCUCUCUGGGACGGUACUGACGCUGAGACGCGAAAGCGUGGGGAGCGAACAGG